rnacentral:rRNA from 1 species
AUUGAACGCUGGCGGCAGGCCUAACACAUGCAAGUCGAGCGGUUGAGGGGAGCUUGCUCCCUGAUUCAGCGGCGGACGGGUGAGUAAUGCCUAGGAAUCUGCCUAUUAGUGGGGGACAACGUUUCGAAAGGAACGCUAAUACCGCAUACGUCCUACGGGAGAAAGCAGGGGACCUUCGGGCCUUGCGCUAAUAGAUGAGCCUAGGUCGGAUUAGCUAGUUGGUGAGGUAAUGGCUCACCAAGGCGACGAUCCGUAACUGGUCUGAGAGGAUGGUCAGUCACACGGGAACUGAGACACGGUGCAGACUCCUACGGGAGGCAGCAGUGGGGAAUAUUGGACAAUGGUCGAAAGCCUGAUCCAGCCAUGCCGCGUGUGUGAAGAAGGUCUUCGGAUUGUAAAGCACUUUAAGUUGGGAGGAAGGGUUGUAGAUUAAUACUCUGCAAUUUUGACGUUACCGACAGAAUAAGCACCGGCUAACUCUGUGCCAGCCGCCGCCGUAAAAC